rnacentral:rRNA from 1 species
AGCGAACGCUGGCGGCAGGCUUAACACAUGCAAGUCGAGCGGGCAUCCUUGUGGUGUCAGCGGCAGACGGGUGAGUAACGCGUGGGAACGUGCCCUUCGGUUCGGAAUAACUCAGGGAAACUUGAGCUAAUACCGGAUACGUGCGAGAGCAGAAAGGUUUAUCUGCCGAAGGAUCGGCCCGCGUCUGAUUAGCUAGUUGGUGAGGUUAUGGCUCACCAAGGCGACGAUCAGUAGCUGGUCUGAGAGGAUGAUCAGCCACACUGGGACUGAGACACGGCCCAGACUCCUACGGGAGGCAGCAGUGGGGAAUCUUGGACAAUGGGGGCAACCCUGAUCCAGCCAUGCCGCGUGAGUGAUGACGGCCUUAGGGUUGUAAAGCUCUUUUCUCCGGGACGAUAAUGACGGUACCGGAGGAAUAAGCCCCGGCUAACUUCGUG